UGCUGAAGAAACAAAACACCUGUUGACUAUAUUAAAAGGAAGUUUCUCCUCCUAAUCCUCCUCAUGUCUGAGUCAACUGCUGUCUUUUAGAUACAACAAAUCUGACUCUCUUACACUUUGUCCUAAAGUAAAAUAAUCCAAGAGAGAAACGUAUAACAUUUUGACUAAAUCAAUUUUUUUUGACAAUCACUGUUUUACUUUCCUCUUAGUCAUUCUCUGCCUGUCUAGAUAUCAGCAGGAAAAAUGUCACAAGUUGCAAACACAGAGGGCAUUAACGUUGGCGACAACGAAGGGAUGGUUGGUGCUAGGAAUACCGUUGACAUUAAAGGUAAAUCCAAGUGGGACUAUACUUGACAGUUUCCUUAAAUCUCUUUCUCACAUGACUCUUACAGGAGGUCAUGGACACAACUCUUCUCUGGGCAACACCUCUGGCAUCGACGUUACAGGAAAGAAUACAGAAAUGAUAUGAACAAGUAUGACAUAAAAGGAGGACUGGGAGCAGUGUUAGCAACACUGCUAAUGUUAAAGUUGGUGAGAACUCAGGAGCCAUGGUGCAGGGAAUAUGGUUAACCUCAGCCAAGGUAAGAAGUCAGAGAUUUAGUUGCCACUUUGGACACAGUAUCAGAUGUGUACAUAUGACAUGCUUAUGUGUUAAUUUUUCCUGUGAAUCUUUCUCAUUGUCUUUCUCCCUUUUAGGGAAUUGCCCUUCAACAGAUAAAGGACAACUCUUCUAACUAACUCUUCUGCUUUACUAUGUCAUAUAAUUAAAAUGUCUUUCAACAAGUAUUCACAAAUGAUGAUGAUGAUUCAUGAUUUCAAAUUGGCAAAAAUUACUCUCAUUCAUCAGAUGAAUGUAAAAGAAGUACCAUUUAUUUUCCAAAUAAGUAUUUCAGUAGUUAACAUAAACUUACUUGCAAUAAUUUGACAACACACUGAUAAUCUUCCUUCAACUUAUUAUGCAACUUCUGCAAAAAAAGUGGCUGCACCUGGUAUGAUUUAGGUGUGUCAUAAUAAAGGCGGCAAAUACUAUGACUGUGUUAGUGAGUUGAGUUUUUGAACAGAUAAACACCAACAUGUGUUUUAAUGGUUUAUGCAACUCAACUGGCAACAGUUGGGUCAAAGAUUCAGGUGUGUUAUGCUAGUAGUGGCCAAUGUAGCCUCGAGCCGCUAGCCUCAAGCAGAGAUGAGGAUUUAUUAUUUCAUGAUUUCUCAAUUUUGGUAAUUCUCUGUAUUUUAAAAGGAGGAACAGGAGCUCAGUCAAAUACUGGAAACUCAUUUAACACACCAGGUGGAACCAGAAGCAACUCUGGAUCUCAUCAACUCAUAUUGCUGAGGAAGUUAGUAGGAGUGGACAGUUGAUUUCUGACUCAUGACUCAGAGAUUAGAAUAUGUGCGGUAAGAUUAACAGUUUAUGUGAUUGUAUCUAUUUAUUAUUGUUGUGUUUAACAGGAGGAAAAGCAGUCAAUAUAGGCAACAUAACUAACAUGACAGUUGGAGACAAUGUAGGAGACAUUGGUGUAAAGAACACCUGCAAUGUGAGUAGUGAGUACUGUGUGUCAUAUUGUUUGGAAGUUAAUACACUUAUUUAAAUUUGGCAUCUUUGGCAUUUCUGUACUGCAAUUUCUUGUUACUUUUUUGUCUGACAUACACACAGAUACGAAUAUUUCUGCAGUAAGUUAAUAGUGACCUGGCCAAUAUAACAGCUCUGGAAAGUUAUCACAGCAGCAAUCAUUUUAUCCUGUGUCUUGAUGAGCGCCAGGUAAACUGCAGUGCUAAUGCCAGUAUGAACACGGUCUUACUGUGUAUUUCAACAGGAGGAGACAGAGUCAAAAUAGGUAUUGCCAACAUAGGUAACAUGACAGUUGGAGACAAUGCAUUGGUGUAGGGAACAACUGCAAUGUGAGCGGUGAGGCCUGUGACUUAUAUGGCUGGGAAGGUGCUUUAGCAGAUACUUUUCAUGAUUUAUGACUGAUGUACGAGACUAGAAUCUGUACACAACAGAUCUAAGAUUAACAGUUUAUGUGAUUUAUAUUUUUCUUUGUAAAUCAACAG